rnacentral:rRNA from 1 species
AGAGUUUGAUCCUGGCUCAGAACGAACGCUGGCGGCGUGCUUAACACAUGCAAGUCGAACGCGAAAGGGGCUUCGGUCCUGAGUAGAGUGGCGCACGGGUGAGUAACGCGUAGAUAACCUGUCCUGGGUCUGGAAUAAUAUCUCGAAAGGGGUGCUAAUACCGGAUAUUCUUGCUUUCUAUAAGGUAUGCAAGGAAAGGUGGCCUCUGGAACAAGCUACUGCACGAGGAGGGGUCUGCGUACCAUUAGCUAGUAGGUGGGGUAAUGGCCUACCUAGGCGACGAUGGUUAGCGGGUCUGAGAGGAUGAUCCGCCACACUGGUACUGAAACACGGACCAGACUCCUACGGGAGGCAGCAGUGAGGAAUAUUGCGCAAUGGGGGCAACCCUGACGCAGCGACGCCGCGUGAGUGAGGAAGGCCUUCGGGUCGUAAAGCUCUGUCAAAGGGGAAGAAGUGCAUGGUGGUUAAUAUCUGUCAUGUUUGACGGUACCCUUAAAGGAAGCACCGGCUAACUCCGUGCCAGCAGCCGCGGUAAUACGGAGGGUGCAAGCGUUGUUCGGAAUCACUGGGCGUAAAGGGCGCGCAGGCGGUUUGAAUAGUCAGAUGUGAAAGCCCACGGCUUAACCGUGGAAGUGCAUUUGAAACUGUCAGACUUGAGUACCAGAGGGGAAAGUGGAAUUCCCGGUGUAGAGGUGAAAUUCGUAGAUAUCGGGAGGAAUACCGGUGGCGAAAGCGACUUUCUGGCUGGAUACUGACGCUGAGGCGCGAAAGCGUGGGGAGCAAACAGGAUUAGAUACCCUGGUAGUCCACGCUGUAAACGAUGUGCACUAGAUGUAGGGGUGUUGAUCCCUUCUGUGUCGCAGCUAACGCAUUAAGUGUACCGCCUGGGGAGUACGGUCGCAGAUUAAAACUCAAAGGAAUUGACGG